AUGAAGGAGGUGGGCGAGGAGAGGUGCCUGGACCCGCAGCUGUGGCACGCCUGCGCGGGCGGCAUGGUGCAGAUGCCGCCGGCGCGCUCGCGCGUCUACUACUUCCCCCAGGGGCACGCCGAGCACGCCAACGGCGGCGGCGGAAGCGCGGCCGCCGAGCUCGCGGCGGCGGUCGGGCCGCGUCCGCUGCCCGCGCUCGUGCUCUGCUGCGUGGCAGGGGUGCGCUUCCUGGCUGAUCCGGAGACGGACGAGGUGUUCGCCAAGAUCCGGCUGGUGCCCGUCGGCCCCGGCGAGGCGGGGUUCCGGGAGCCGGAGGGGCUCGGGGGCGACCCGGCGGAGGCGCGCGACAAGCUGGCCUCCUUCGCCAAGACGCUGACGCAGUCCGACGCCAACAACGGCGGCGGCUUCUCGGUGCCGCGCUACUGCGCGGAGACCAUCUUCCCCAAGCUUGACUACAGGGCUGACCCGCCGGUGCAGACGGUGCUCGCCAAGGACGUGCACGGGGAGGUGUGGAAGUUCCGCCACAUCUACCGGGGCACGCCGCGCCGGCAUUUGCUCACCACGGGCUGGAGCACCUUCGUGAACCAGAAGAAGCUCGUCGCGGGGGACUCCAUCGUCUUCCUGCGCACCGAGCACGGGGAGCUCUGCGUCGGGAUACGCCGGGCCAAGCGGGUCACCUGCGGGGGCAUGGAGUGCAUAUCCGGCUGGAACGCGCCAGGGUAUGGGGGGUUCUCGGCCUUCCUCAAGGACGAGGAGAACAAGAUGAUGAACGGUGGCCCCGCCGGUUACGUCAAAGGCAGGGGGAAGGUGAAGAUCGCCGAUGUCGCGGAGGCGGCCACCCUUGCGGCCAACAGCCAGCCAUUUGAGGUGGUGUACUACCCGAGAGCUAGCACGCCGGAGUUUGUUGUCAAGGCCGCCGCUAUGCAGGCUGCCAUGAGGAUCCACUGGUGCCCUGGCAUGAGGUUCAAGAUGGCCUUUGAGACCGAGGAUUCCUCAAGAAUUAGCUGGUUUAUGGGGACGAUUUCUUCGGUUCAGGUUGCCGAUCCACUCAGAUGGCCGAAUUCACCAUGGAGACUUCUUCAGGUCACAUGGGAUGAGCCAGACUUGUUACAGAAUGUGAAAUGCGUGAGCCCAUGGCUUGUGGAACUUGUAUCGAGCAUUCCACCAAUCCAUUUGGGACCAUUUUCUCCACCACGAAAGAAGUUACGGGUUCCCCAACAUCCUGAUUUUCCAUUGGAUGGUCAUCUGUUUAAUCCAAUUUUCCAUGGGAACCCACUUGGUCCUAGCAACAGCCCCCUAUGCUGUUACUCGGACAACAACUCUCCUGCAGGCAUACAGGGAGCCAGGCAUGCUCAAUUUGGUUUACCAUUAACAGACCAUCAGCUUAAUAAGCUGCACCUUGGUUUGUUCCAUGGCGGCGGUUUUAACCGGCUGGACGCUCUAACCCCGUCUUCCCGGAUACCUAAGGGCUUUGUGCUCAGCAGCGCACCAGCCCACGACAGCGUCUCUUGCUUGUUGACAAUCGGUACACCACAGAGCACAGAAAAAUCUGUUGACAGAAAGACCCCACAUAUAAUGUUGUUUGGAAAGGCCAUUCUUACCGAGCAGCAGAUGACUUCAAGUGGUUCAAGGGAGACACUCUCCUCCGGGGCUACUGGAAAUAGUUCACCUAUCAGUACUGGGCUGAAGGCAGGAAAUGCGUCUGAUGGUUCUGGUUCAUCAAUCUGCAUUGGAUUCUCAUCCCAGGGUCAUGAGGCUUCUGACCUUGGAUUGGAAGCUGGGCACUGCAAGGUAUUUAUGGAAUCGGAGGAUGUUGGUCGCACCAUCGACUUGUCUGUCUUUGGGUCAUACGACGAGUUGUAUGGCCGUCUGGCUGACAUGUUUGGGAUCGAGAAGGAAGAAAUCAUAAGCCAUCUUCGUUACCGUGACACAGCUGGUGCCGUCAUGCACACUGGGGGAUUACCAUUCAGCGACUUCAUGAAAGUGGCACGGAGGCUGACGAUAAUAAGUGGCGAAAAGGGAGGGCUGGCGAAACCUCUCAUCGAAUGCAUGGUUCAGCGGGUGUGA
rnacentral:rRNA from 1 species